AAGGACUCAUAUCAACUUCAGUACAAGCAUCUCAAUUUCUACAAAGAAAAAUGAACCCCCUUUUGCUACUACUCUCACUUUCAAUUAUCCCAUUUAUCUUAGCAGGUUCAUCACCAUCUCCAGUUCUUGAUAUCAAGGGCGACAAAGUCCAAGCGGGUCCCAACUAUUUCGUGUUAGCAGUGAUCCGCGGAAAUGGCGGCGGGCUUACCCCAUUCAACGUUAAACAAAACAAUACUUGUCCUAGGGACAUCAUGCAAUGGAACGAUGAUGUUCAAGAAGGCUUGCCUGUGGUUUUUACACGUCUGGAUGCCAAAAAAGACGUUGUUGGUCUAUCCACUGAUCUUAAUGUCAGGUUUUUCACUCCAACUAUUUGUGCCAGAGAGACAAUUUGGAAACUUGGUCCCUAUGAUGACAAGUUGAAGCAGUACUUUGUGGUGACUGGUGGAGUUGAAGGGAACCCCGGUCCACAAACUUUGAGCAGUUGGUUCAAGAUUGAGAAAUUUGAGAAGGAUUAUAAGUUUGUGUUCUGUCCAAGUGUGUGCAAAGUUUGUAAAGUUAUUUGCAAAGAUGUUGGCAUAUUCAGAACUAAGGAUGGAGUCAGGCUUUUGGCUCUGAGUGACACUCCACAUGGGGUCAUGUUCAAGAAGACUUUCUGAUCCUACAAUUUUUCUCCAGUUUUAUGGUUAAUUGGGAGCUUUUCAAUUUCCAAUAAUAUUCUGCUUCCUCUGAUGUAAUCUUGCGUGUGUUCAAUUCGUUAAUUUGAAGUAUUUUGAACAUGGCUUAAUCUUCUUCCCUAUUGGAUUGUUGUUUAUUCCCACCUUGUCUCUCUUUCUCCAUUUUGUGAAAUUGGAAGGUGAAGCUUCACACCCUUCACAGUGGGUGCUCCAUUAUGUUUCA